UCGUCGAACUAGAAACCUUUGGAGCGAAAAUUUCGUCCGUUUUGCUCUAUCUCUAACGAGGGGAAAUUCACUGCACGUAAUAAGUGUUCGCUGAGCACAUAAUCUGCACAUAAUCCACGUGAUCCGUUGAUAAUCCACAUAAUCCGUACAUAAUCCACGUGAUCCGUAUACAUAAUCCACGUGAUCCGCACAUAAUCCACGUGAUCCGCACAUAAUCUACGUGAUCCGUACAAAAUCUACGUGAUCUACACAUAAUCAACAUAAUCCACAUAAUCUGCACAUAAUCCACGAGAUCCCGCGUAAUCCAAAAACCUAAACUGUUUCCUUGAACACAAAAAACUGUGGUUAGAUCCUCGGACGGUUUACUGUGAGUUCCAGUGUAACUGCUGUGGCCAACACUUUUCUGCUGACUGCUGCAUAAAAUUGUAUCCGUUAUGUGUCCAAUUCAUUGGUAUAAUCUUGUACAUAUUUGCCAACAGAUUGUCCAGAAGCCAGGCGAUAUCCUAUACCUGCUGCCAUACACAAUUCACUGGGGCGUGAACACUGGAAUUAAUUUUAACGAAGCAAUGAACUUUGUGUGUAAGUCGUGGGUUCUCCAAGGCAUGCUGGCCCGUCAGAGGUGUACCUGUAUUCCUGAUUGGUCCUGCGAAUUUGAAAUCACAUCUACCCUGACACUCAUGGGAGCAGAGAAAGAGCUCAUGUCUGCCUGGAAGGCUGGCAACACCAGUGGCAUCGAUUUGGCCCCUGCGACAUUCGAAACCUCGCCUCCACCCUGGGUUCUGUUCGGCUGGAGCAGAACAACGUGGUGAACCUGCCCCAGGGUGUUGUGGCGAGAGUGCCCCAAAAUACAGAGACACGAUAAGGAUUACGAAUGGUCUGCAGUGUCCCUUCGAAACCUGCUCCAAGAAAAUCAUGUACUAUGGUGAAGGUGCGAAAACCUCUCUAAUUAACCACAUCAACGAAAUACAUAAAUCAGACGCUGCAAAUCUCUUAAUUAUAGUGGAGAGGGGUUUUCAGAAGAAAGAGACAACAUGUGGUGGCAAUAAAUUCGAGUGCUUCCACUGUGGUCAGACUCUCACUGGAGCGAGGAAACGGAAGGCGUCGCACGAAGCAACCUGUGCCAAGAAGUCGAAGAAACAAUGAGUGCCAUGGUGGAAUAUUGUUGAAAUCUGUUGAAAUCUGUGAUAGCAGAUAGGCUUCAUGUUUUUAAGUAAUGGUUCCACAUCCAUCAUUGGUUCCUGAUACAAAACCAAUGGAGUCAUUAGGUGUGAGGUGUUCAUUGUUUUUGCUCAGAUAGAAUACUGUUCCUGAAGUUCCGUCCUGUUGGAAUGUCAUCUUGAGAGAAUACGUGUCUUUGCUCCACUUCAGUCUUGUCUCCAAGAUGUCUCUGAAGUGUCUCUGCGGUGGCUGCGGGAUGGCACCGCAGUGUCCUCGCGUUGGCUCCACGGUGUCUCUGCGGUGGCUCCGCGGCGGCUCCAUGGUGACUCCGCGAUGGCUCCGCGGGUGGCUCCGCGGUAGCUCGGCGGUAGCUCCGCGGUGGCUCCGCGCGGAUUCCGCAGGGGCUUCGCACGGGCACCAGGCUCGCUUGACGAUGGCUUUAGAAUGUCUCUUUCUGGCCUUAAAGUAGCUAUCCUGUAGCCAUUUCAUGCGACAGGAGAAUGGCUCAGCAAUGGCUGGGGAUUUUUUCUCAUUUUUUUGAGAAUAUUCCUCAAAAUCUGAGGCGAGAUCGGAGGACUCUUCCUCAAAGAUUCUAGCUCCUCAAAGUUUUCCCUUUUCCCUCAAAAAAUAAGAUUUUGCUUUUACCGUGCGUGUAUCUUCCUAUGGUGUGUUCCGCAACCUUUUAAAAAUUACAUGAAAUAACGUGAUAAAGCCUGGAACGCGUGGGCUUUACUCUAACAGUAAAAAAGGACAGUUUUGUCUUCUUCCCUUUGGAGUAAGCUCCAAAGCGAGGCCUUUCCUAAUUCGACACCUCCUACGUACAAGCAGCUAUCUUCUUGAGCAGUGCAGACAUGCAGCUAUCUUCUUGAGCUGUGCAGACAAGCAGUAGGCCAUCUCAUUUUGGUAGUCGAAGUCGGCGAUUUCGGAGGUACGCACAUUUAAUGAUAGAUUAG